ensembl:lncRNA
UGACAAUGCAAGCAGAACAGAAAAGCCUCUUUUUUGUCACCUGGAACACAAAUGGUAUUAAAAAUACCAAGAAGGUGACUUAAUGAAAUGCUAGUCCACUGCAGGGCACCAUGCACACACACACAUGCACAUGCGCACACACACAUUCAAAAGCAAUUUAGUGCAGCCAGUUCAUCUACCUGAAUAUUUUGGACAGUGGAAGAAAACUGGAUAAUUAGAAGGAAACCCACACAAACACAGGGAUGUGAACACAUGAAACGUAACACAGACAGUAACCUGAGCUCAGGAUUGACACAGGGAUAGUUGGCAACACUAUCCAGUGAACCAGCAACAACAGCAUCAUAUUGCGCCCUUGGUGCUUUGGCCCUAAUGAUGCUAACCAUACAAAGUGCUUAAAAUGAUCAUGAGUUUCCUCAAGGCCUCCUGACAUGAAGGAGUAUCUAGCACACCCUUGCCUGUGACCUCACAUGACACUGCCUGAGUUCUGCACUAAAUUCUAUGUUUGUGUGUACAUUAGAAGUGAGAGCAGUUGAAUCAACUAUAUAGUAAGUAAUUAAAGUUGUGGCAAUAACUCUUCAUCAUCAUCAUCAUCUAUUGAGUUAAAUUUUCUGAAAAGCAGGAUGGAAAACUUGACUUGAGAAUUAGAAUCAAAUAGAUGAAAAAGUACAAUUUUGUGUUAGAAUGAAGCCCUGAAUGGACAUCUGGUAUUUUCCUUCAAAUAUGUUUUAUAAAUUAAUUUAUAGGUAAAGAAGCACAUUUAAAAGUGAUUUGAAUGUAGAGUGUUGUAUGUAUUAUGUAAUGAAAUCAAAGUUCUUCUGUGGAACUCAAUUUGUCCAUUUAUUAACCCCAUCCUCAAUCUGGCUCUCAGGAAGCUACAAGAUCUGAUUCUCAAAACUGACACAGUUCUCGACUAGUGUUUUCUUUAACAGAUAUGUACUUUAAUUUUGUGCCUUAUUUUCACAGGGAAUCCAGAAUUUGUCUUUCACAUAGGUUAGAUCUGACAAUGCAAAAGAAAAAGAUUUCUCAUGUUUCCAUAUGUAUGAAGGCAGUUUGACUGUAUUGAUUGUCUGCAUGGGAGUUGGAAGCAGGGACUAAACAUGAGAAGAAAACUGGAUGUGGACAUUUAGAUCAGUCUGUGUCUAAGGAUUACCGUCAUAACAUGCUGUGAGCAGUAGCUGUUCUGAGGUCAACACUGAGUGCACAAGUUGCCCAACCUGACCUAAGAUCAAGUGAUCAAGUGAUCAACCAGCAACAACAACAACAACAACAACAACAACAACAACAACAACAACAACAACAAACACAGGUGACUGCUGACACAAGGCUUCCAGCCAGGUAAUCUAUAUAAUAUAGUAUUUAUUUAGUGUUAGUAAGUAGAGAUGCACCGAUACUAAAUUUCUCAGCGAAUACCGAUAACCGAUUAUUCAGAGUGAUAUCAGCUGAUACCGAUAACCGAUACCGAUAGUUCUGCCUUUUAUGCCUUCUUUUAAAUUAAUCAAAGAAAAAGAAAAUAAAACCUUUAUUCUCUCCAUUUCAACAAGUUGUUUCACAGUAACUGGUCUUAAACAGAAAACACAUUACUCUAAUUAACAUUAACACAUGAACUAAAUUCUGAAGAUUAAAGUAAGAUUUCUUAACUUAUUGAAUGUUAUUAAUUCAUAUUAACAAAAUUAAUUGACUGAAUUCUAAAAAACCUUCUGUUAGUCUCACAUUCACUCACCACAAACAAAAACAUUUCUACGUCAUCACUGACAUCAAACUGGUAAUAUAUAAUAUCAACUUUUUCAUAUAUUAACAUUAAAUGGAUAUGGAAUAUACUACUCUACAAAUAUAUUUUUCUGUGCAAUAUAUACUUUUUUGUCAACUCAUAUUCAUUUAAAUCUUUCAACAGUGUACUGGUGCGUUAAUUCAGCUCGAGCAGCGUGGAAAUAAAAAAAAUUAGACUUGACGUCGAAACUCCCGUUUCACUGCUGCAGUGUCCGGUGUAAAAUUUUAGCAAUGCAGAGAUUACAGACUGCAGUUUUGUCAUCAUUCCACACAAAAUGCAUCUUCUUUACACACAGCAUGAAAUCAAUGUGUUUUCCCGCCCUCUUUUGAUAGACAGGAUAUAAUUGCUCCUGAUCACUGGAUGUUUUUAAACUAUCCCCGAUGGCCGAUAGCAUGAAAAAUUGCCUUUAUGGGCCUAUACAUAUCAUUGGCUGAUACAUCGGUGCAUCUCUAUUAGUUAGUAUUUACUGAAAACUGUAUUGAGAAUACAUAAUGAAUAGAUAACUGUGUUCAUAAAAAGACAUAUUGUCAAAAUUCAUUCAUAAAUGUAUGGCCUGAUAUGAAAGAAUGAAAAAAGCUGUAGUUUGAUGCUUGCUUUUAAACAUACAAUACAUAACAAACAUAAAAUAUAUGAAAUAAUUGUUAUUUUAAAUUGUCUAUUUUAUUUACAGAGGUUUAAUCAAAAAUGACAUCAAACGCUGAAACAAACCUCUGUUUUGUCUCCUGGAACACAAAUGGUAUUAAAAAAAGAUUGUAAAAAUAUUGGACGUUCUCUGUAACCUUCAAGCUGAUAUUGUUUUUCUACAAGAAACACAUGUUGGGCCAACAACAAAAUGUCUCCAAGCCAUUAAUAUUGUUAAAAACUGGGACGUCUACAAUACUGAAUACAGUUCUCAAAGCAAAGGAGUUGCAAUACUGAUAAAAAAAACAUACCAUUUGAGUACAUAUGCCAUGAUGAGGAUUGUAGUGGAGGUUACAUUGUGCUCUUCUGUCAUCUGUAUGGUGAACUGUACACUCUUGUUAACGUGUACAAGCAUAAGAAAGACAAAGUUGUCUUGAAUAGGCUGAAGGACUAUUUGAUGGCGAGAGCUGAGGGUGUGCUAGUGGUUGGAGGUGAUUUCAAUUCACUUUUAGAUCCCAGAGUAGAUCGCAAUCCUCCAAGGUCAAGAGAAUCACCAUCAAAAGUUUUAGAAGACUUUAUUGCAUCACUGAACCUCAGAGACACCUGGUCAAACAUACAUACUGAUAAUGAUACAGAGAGAUUUACAUUCAAAUAUCCUCGUGGUUUUUCCAGAAUAGACAUGUUUUUCCUGCAAAAUGCCACAAUAAAUCAAGUACUUAGCAUUACAGUUGAAAAAGGUUUUGAGGGACAAAAAAUGGAUCAUUUCCCUCUCGUCUUAAAACUCCCCACAAGGUUAAGGACAUAUGAAUACAAUCCUGACAGGUGCCAAGGAAAGAUUAGUCUUAAAGAAAUACUGAGUGCUAUAAAGUAUUUAACUGACAAAGAAGAACCCAGACCAAAUAUGAAUGAUGAGAAGGUCUACAAAAAAAAAUGCUGUACAAUGAAGAUUGACUACAAUAAAAUAUUAAAUACACUGAAGGUACCUAAAAAUUAUAAACCUUCAGGAGACAACAACAUGGAAUAUUUGAUAUUUUCAGAAAUUUUGGCCAAGCGCCUCUUGCCAUUCAGUUCAUGUGAAACUGAUAACUGUGCCACUGUGAACAUUGAGAGCCCACAGGAAAUCAAGUGGUCUUACCUGAAGACAAUAUUUGAUAAGAUAGAUUAUUGUUAUUAUAAAGAGAAAGACCCAAAACAGGCCCCGUUUGCCCCCCCACCAGACCUCCGCAUUCUGGAUCGUCUUCUUCCUAAAGUCCAAAACUCUACUGAGGAUCUCAGAGUUUUACAGCCUAACUGUCCACUAGCCAAUGCUAUCCUCAAUCUGGCAAAUAAACAGCUGGUUGAUAUGCUUCAGUUGUUCCAGAAUGAUUCAGGACUGAAGUUAAAUACUGUACUUCAUGUACUCAAACAAACACACACACACAAAUAAGUCACUUUGAGCCUAAAUAAUUGAAGAACUUUUAAAGGGCCUUUAACAGCAAUUAGAACAUUAAGCACAGGACAGGUUGAGAAGUUUUAUUCCCCCUCUACAGCAGCUACAUCACAAAUUGUGCUACAACCUCUCUAUAAACAUCAGAGGUACACAUCUAUUUUAUGUCCAGAUGAAAAAAAAACAAAAAACAAUACUUAUGCUGGCUUUUAUCUCUUAUGCAUUACUUUAUUAUAUUUAAUUAUGAUUGCUAUUAUGAUUUUGUUGAUAGUAGCACAGUGGGUAAUCACUGUCCAUCACUAGUCCGAAUUAAAAUAGAUUCAGAAAAUAUCAGGGAUUUCAGGCACUAUCUACAGUUACUUUGAUUUGCUUAGAUUGGUUUAGCUUUGCUUCACGAGCUGGGAAUAUUGUAUUAAUUUCUAAGUUGUUAGGGUGUAUUUGUACACGUAAAAUGAAACUUUUAUUUAAAAUGUUUAAAAUUUGUAUAGGAUAUAAGAUUUGUAAUUAAUUUUGUUGUUGAGUUUUGUAAAUUAUUACAGCAAUGGUGCAGUGCUUUGUGCAAUCACAUUAUAUAUACAUUAACAGUGUCUUUCUUUUUUUUGCCUUCUUUUUUUUUUGCCUUUGUCAAGAAUAAUGCUACAUUCAUGUUUACUGUGUUUAUGAGAUACUUAUAUUUGAAAAAAAAGGCAUCCUUAAUAUGUAAUAUUUCUUUCUUGGAGAUGUUUGGCUAUCCUAAUAGACAUUAUGGAAGUUUGUACAGAUGUGCAUCAUGUUUGCUUGGUUGUGUAUUAAUCUGUUACUUCCAUCCCAGCUUUAAUUGAAGACUUUCUGCUGCAAGGCAUUCACCACUAAGUAUUAUUUUAGAAGCUUUUACGGCAUCUCUGAAUCUUAGAGACACCAUGCCUUCACUUUACUGAUGAGGGCUUUACACAGUUUCACAACAAGUCAUUCCUGGAUAAACUUUAGACACAAUGGGAAAAUACAAACUACAGAGCUAUAGAGUUAAACUACAGAAAGUUUUGAUAAAUGUCCUCUUGUACUAAAAGAGCAAAUACAUUUAAAACAGAACAAAACAAAAAACUCUGGAGAGAGAUACAGACACAGAGUGAAAUAAAAAUGCCCACUGAUGAUAUCAUUAAAUCUACUGAAGUAACAGUUUCGAAGUAGGAAGUGAAACGUGUAUGUGGUGAACACAGACGAGAGGAGUGAUACACACAGUGAAACAUUCCAGUGCGGUUAUAGGAAAUAUAUUCGCUCUUGGAAUGCCGCACGACCAAUCAGAUUAGUGGAACUAACUGUUGUAUAAAGGUUCAUAAUCUAUCAGCAUACAUGCUUCUCUACUUCCUGUGUCUGUUAGCACAACAUUAUGGAAUAAAAACAAUUUCUGUAUAAUCAUCUUUGGCUACAUCUUUGCAUGAUUUAGGCAUGUCCAUACAUUCUCCAAAUCAUAUUUAUAUAGUGUAUGUUAUUCACUGUUAAAUAUUUUAAUUACAUAUUUACACUAUUUGCAGUUAUCUGCAAGCAUAAUAUGUUUUUAACAUGUUACCAUCAGGCCAGAAAUGUAUAGGUCUACUAUGAAAAGAUAAUAUUCG